GGGCCAGUGGCGCAACGGAUAACGCGCUUGACUACGGAUCAGGAGAUUCUAGGUUCGAAUCCUGGCUGGCGCC
rnacentral:tRNA from 1 species